rnacentral:rRNA from 1 species
CUUGCUUCUCUUGAGAGCGGCGGACGGGUGAGUAAUGCCUAGGAAUCUGCCUGGUAGUGGGGGAUAACGUUCGGAAACGGACGCUAAUACCGCAUACGUCCUACGGGAGAAAGCAGGGGACCUUCGGGCCUUGCGCUAUCAGAUGAGCCUAGGUCGGAUUAGCUAGUUGGUGGGGUAAUGGCUCACCAAGGCGACGAUCCGUAACUGGUCUGAGAGGAUGAUCAGUCACACUGGAACUGAGACACGGUCCAGACUCCUACGGGAGGCAGCAGUGGGGAAUAUUGGACAAUGGGCGAAAGCCUGAUCCAGCCAUGCCGCGUGUGUGAAGAAGGUCUUCGGAUUGUAAAGCACUUUAAGUUGGGAGGAAGGGCAGUAAAUUAAUACUUUGCUGUUUUGACGUUACCGACAGAAUAAGCACCGGCUAACUCUGUGCCAGCAGCCGCGGUAAUACAGAGGGUGCAAGCGUUAAUCGGAAUUACUGGGCGUAAAGCGCGCGUAGGUGGUUAGUUAAGUUGGAUGUGAAAUCCCCGGGCUCAACCUGGGAACUGCAUUCAAAACUGACUGACUAGAGUAUGGUAGAGGGUGGUGGAA